UGUGGUGUGGCUCAGGUAGAACACUUGCCUUGCAUGCAUGAGGCACUGGGUUUUAUCCUCAGCGCCACAU
rnacentral:tRNA from 1 species